rnacentral:rRNA from 1 species
GACGUAGGGCGCGAGCGUUGUCCGGAUUUAUUGGGCGUAAAGAGCUCGUAGGCGGCUUGUUGCGUCGACCGUGAAAACCCGGGGCUCAACUUCGGGCUUGCGGUCGAUACGGGCGGGCUAGAGUUCGGUAGGGGAGACUGGAAUUCCUGGUGUAGCGGUGAAAUGCGCAGAUAUCAGGAGGAACACCAGUGGCGAAGGCGACUACCUGGCCUGUUCUUGACGCUGAGGCGCGAAAGCUAGGGGAGCAAACGGG